rnacentral:rRNA from 1 species
GACGAACGCUGGCGGCGCGCCUAACACAUGCAAGUCGAACGAGCGAGAGAGAGCUUGCUUUCUUGAGCGAGUGGCGAACGGGUGAGUAACGCGUGAGGAACCUGCCUCAAAGAGGGGGACAACAGUUGGAAACGACUGCUAAUGCCGCAUAAGCCCACGACCCGGCAUCGGGUUGAGGGAAAAGGGGCAAUCCGCUUUGAGAUGGCCUCGCGUCCGAUUAGCUAGUUGGUGAGGUAACGGCCCACCAAGGCGACGAUCGGUAGCCGGACUGGGAGGCUGAACGGCCACAUUGGGACUGAGACACGGCCCAGACUCCGACGGGAGGGAGCAGUGGGGAAUAUUGCACAAUGGGGGAAACCCUGAUGCAGCGACGCCGCGUGGAGGAAGAAGGUCUUCGGAUUGUAAACUCCUGUUGUUGAGGAAGAUAAUGACGGUACUCAACAAGGAAGUGACGGCUAACUACGUG